CGGAGCGGUCGAACAGUUAAAAGAGAUCCAGCAGGCAGACCAAGCGUGGCUCACAGACUCGAUACGGAAAAUUACCGAGCCCACUGACUACUGUCACAGUUGACCAAUGCUCUUUAAGUGACACUGGUUUAAAGGCAGUCAAUAGUAGUCGAGCACGCGCGUGGUGUAUGAAUAAUUACCGAUGGCCUUGGAGGCAUUUGUCUUCAGAGCUGUCUUCGGGGUCAAGUAGCAAUUGUCAAGCCUGUAGAUUUACUCUUCUGAUAUCUACUGAAAUAAACUACGCUCUGUGCCAAUAAUUCGUGGGCGCGGCAUAGUUCCGUGGCACAUUUUCUGGAUGAUCGUUUAAUUGACUGCUGGGAAGCCGUUACAGAAGAGCACAGAAUUUGGAGGAGACUGGUGCAGAUGAUACAGCUACUAUUUCUACAGCUUGAAACAGUACCGCAGUAAUUGAACGUAGAGUCGGUAACAUAGUAUCAAAUGUA